CCUCCACUAGAAAGGCAUGGCCCAGCCCACCAGGCUGGGGGCAGCUACCUGAGGAGACCCUGAGCUAUAGUGGAGUCGCUCACAUCGGCUGCCCUCCCUCUGUGUCUGCAGUCAGGACCAAACAAGGUGAGCUGAGCUUCUACUGUGUGUGAGCAGAUCAGAUGGAAGCCAGGGAGGAGUCUAGACACCAGGAGGAAGUCUAAGUCACCAUCCUCCGAUGGAGGGAAGGAGGGGAGGAGCUAGCUCAGAUCCCCUUUAGCGCUUUGAUUCCAUUUCAAAAUGAAAUUUUUAAGAAAGGUAUAUGGAAAGCAACCAGAAAGGCAAAUAAAAAUAACUCUCAGUCUGUCAUGGAGUCAAGUUAGAAUGCUAGAUAGAGAGAGCAAGACAGGGCAAGAAGGAGAAGGGGAAAGGGAAGGAGAGAAGAAGGAGGGAGGGAGG